UUGCAUUGGCAAAAAGGUUUGUUUGGGUUUUUCAUAAGAUGUUUAACCUGAAUGAACUUUUGGGCCAACCCAAU
rnacentral:miRNA from 1 species